AUAGACUGAUACCGUAUAUAAAGUCUCAUUCAUCGAUUGACCUAAUCUGCAGGGUGAAUGGACUCUUGUUAUAUGCAGGGUUCAGGGGCCUAAUCUGCAGAAAUGUAGGCCUGGAAACGGAGAGCUUUUGCAAUUCUCACUCAAGAUAAUUGGUUGAAUCAUGAAUGUUUAUGGUCAUUCACACGGUCUUCUUCAUUCAUGACCUAACUGAACAAGGCUUAUGCUUCUAGGACCAUUUUUUUAAACAAAUCAAAUCUUUGCUUUUUAUAUUCCUUUCCAUCCUUUAUAUUACAAGAUUAUUUUUAUAUUCUUUUUAUUGUGCAUGCAGCCCAACCUCAACACAUAUCGAGUUGCAAUUGUGUGCAUAAUAGAGUAGAGGAAAGAUAAGGAAGCAGAACCAAUUGGAAC
rnacentral:lncRNA from 1 species